CCCUUAGAUGUUCUGGGCUGCACGCGCGCUACACUGAAGCUAUCAACACGUUUUCCCUCCCUGAGAAGGGCGGGUAACCUUUUGAAUCAGCUUCGUGGUAGGGAUCGGGGCUUGCAAUUGUUCCCCGUGAACCAGGAAUUCCUAGUAGACGCGAGUCAUAAGCUCGCAUCGAUUAAGUCCCUGCCCUUUGUACACACCUCCCGUCGCUACUACCGAUUGAACGUUUUAGUGAGGCAUUUGGACCGACGCAUCUCAGUUUAACCGCUGGUUUGUGUUGGAAAGACUUCCAAACUUGAGCGUUUAGAGGAAGUAAAAGUCGUAACA
rnacentral:rRNA from 1 species